rnacentral:lncRNA from 1 species
CAGGUGUUAGAUAUGCUUGAAGAUGCUUGUGAAUCAUUGCUAGAAAACAUUUUGGCAGAAAAUAAACAUAUACAAGAGGUGGCAAAAGUGUAAGCAAACCAAUCUGAAUUCAGUUACUGGGUAAAAGUGUUGCAGGUGAUAGAAAUGAAGUUAUUUAAUAGUGAUUAAUAUUGACAAAUGCAGGAAUUUUGAGGUUUAAAAUUAGUCUAAUGUUUGUGGUUUUGGUUGCAGGGACAGUUACC